rnacentral:tRNA from 1 species
GCGGGUGUAGCUCAAUGGUAGAGCUCCAGCUUCCCAAGCUGGUGACGAGGGUUCGAUUCCCUUCACCCGCU